ACAUUACCUAAUCUUGACAUUGCAGAANCCAGCGGAGAUGCAGGUGUGCCUUCGGGAACUGUAAGUCAGGUGCUGCAUGGCCGUCUUCAGCUCGUGUUGUGUAAUGUUGGGUUAAGUCCCGCAACGAGCGCAACCCUUUUCCUUGUUUGCCAGCACUUCGGGUGGGAACUCCAGGGAGACUGCCGGUGAUAAACCGGAGGAAGGUGGGGACGACGUCAAGUCAUCAUGGCCCUUACGAGUAGGGNUACACACGUGCUACAAUGGCGCAUACAGAGGGCGGCCAACUUGCGAAAGUGAGUGAAUCCCAAAAAGUGCGUCGUAGUCCGGAUUGGAGUAUGCAACUAGACUCCAUGAAGUUGGAGUCGUUAGUAAUCGUGGAUCAGCCACCCCCGGUGAAUAUGUUCCCGGGCUUUGUACACCCCGCCCGUCACACCAUGGGAGUGGGCUCCAAAAGAAGUGGGUAGUUUUACCCUCGGGAGGACGCUCACCACUUCGUGGUUCCGANGGGGGAUAAGNNGCAACAAGGAACCGAAGGGGGAA
rnacentral:rRNA from 1 species